GGCCAAGCUGCAGCCAUUUCAAAAUAUGUCAAAGAAAUAUAUUCUGGGGUAAAAUAUUAUAAUUUUGUUACAGGUAGUUAGACAGGCAUGAGCAGGGCAGGAGAGAACGCUCCCCUGACUCACCAGGAAUGUCAGGCAAUCAUUGGGUGAUGGUUCAACAAUGAUCACAUUUCCUCUCUGAAAAUGAUAAUUCAGCAGCCAGCACCAGGGAGAGACAAUCACGUGAUGGUUCACAGCUGUUACAUUAAAGUGUUAAUUGAAUGCAGGCACCAGGGAGAAAAAAGGGCACCAAUAUGAUCUCAGGUAUUGGGCAAGUAAGCCUGGGCAUGCGCAUUAAGAGACAAAAUGGCCGAGUAUGACCUUCAGGGUGCACUCCUCAGGAAAAGGGAAGAAAGCCUCAAAUGGGCAUGUGUACACCCUAAACACACUGCAUGUGCUCACCUCCCAAGCAUAAGAAGGGCACUGCACUUGGGAGGUGUCGCACACACAGUAUGUUUACUGAAGUUGGGCACAUGUUCACUUGAAGUGUUUUUCCCUUACCAGUUCCUAGAGGAAGGCCAUAUACCAGUUGAACUCUGGCAUUUUACCUCUUAGUGCACAUGCUUAAGCCCACUGUCCCAGCUCCUGAGAUCUUAUCAGGAAGCUGCUGGUCACCAGUUUCAGGUGUUUUCUAUCUAUUGGGAGCCUGCCAGUCUCUGGUGUGGGCUGCAACCAAUUAUUAUUUCAGAGAGACAGUUUAACAACCACCUGACCAUCUCCUGAUGGUCACCUGAUAUUCCUGAUGGGUAAGAGGGGGCCCUCUCCUCCCCUGCUUAUGUCUGCAUAAUUACCUACUGUAACAGACUGUGAUGGAUGAUUUAGAAUAUACAAAUCAUCAGGGUCUUUGGAAACUAGAAGUAUGCAAAGAAAAAUCAACUAGGUUAACCAUAAGAUGUAACUGAUAAUUUAUUUUGUAAAUAUAAAUACCAAAUAUAAUACAUACCCUGAGUAAUACAAAAUCACACAUACACAUGUUCUAUUUGAAUGGCAUUUAUCAAAUAUUUCUCAUAUUCUUAAUAUUUGUUAUGUUCAAAGAUUCCCAUUGCUACAAGUCUCCAUUGCAUUUCCCCAGUUCAUUUCUUUCUCAGCUCUGGAUACUUUUCCCUCUAUGUCCAUGAAAUUUAAAGGGAGUCCAUCUUUAGGUUCACUUAAGGCAUUAAUUCUCACAAAAUAGUUCUGCAAGGAAUAUUUAAUCUUUGUUUCAAUAAAUUGCAUUUCAUGAACCUGGACCUUCAGGAUUGCCUACAGACACUAUCAAAAUAAUAAUUUUGUUAAAUUAACAAAUGCCAAUAUUUGUGUGAUGUAUACAUGUGUGUAUCUGUGUAUAUAUAUUAUAGUUAUGUACCUACAUAACUAGUACAAGUGCCAAUUUGAACCUCUACUCUGACAUUUAGUAACAAGAGGUGUGGGAUAUUGGGCAAUUUUUUAAAUGUUUCUGUGCUUGAUUUUUUUUUAAAUGAGGAUGCAAAUAAGAUUAUAAUGAGAAUUAAAUAUGAAAAUGUACAUAAAGUACAUGUUCCUUACAUUUGGCAUAUAGUAGAUGUUACAUAAGUAUCAAUAUGUAAAUAUAAUGUGUUUACCAUGUGUAUAUGCAUAUACAUAUAUGUAACAAACACAAACAUGCACUUAUAAAAGAAAUGGAAAGAAAUAAAUGAAUAUAUUAACUCUACUGUGUUUAUCUGAUGAGAGUUUGUAUUUUUCAUCAUAUUUGGAUACAAAUUUCAAAUUUUCAAUUAUGUGCUGAUCUCUCAGGUACAGUCAGAAAAAAAUGAUAAAUAUUUGUUCGUUCACUUGGAAAACUGGUUUUAAUCUGACACAUUAGAGUUCAAGUGAUUAUCAGAAAUAAUUUCUUCAUAAUGAGAGCUUUAAAUACUAGAAUAGGCUACUAGUUGUGUGAAAGUGUUUUUUGGACAC
rnacentral:lncRNA from 10 species